rnacentral:rRNA from 1 species
UCAACCGGGGAGGGUCAUUGGAAACUGGAAGGCUUGAGUGCAGAAGAGAAGAGCGGAAUUCCACGUGUAGCGGUGAAAUGCGUAGAGAUGUGGAGGAACACCAGUGGCGAAGGCGGCUCUUUGGUCUGUAACUGACGCUGAGGCGCGAAAGCGUGGGGAGCGAACAGGAUUAGAUACCCUGGUAUCCACGCCGUAAACGAUGAGUGCUAAGUGUUGGGGGGUUCCG